CAGCCGCCGCGUUAAUACGAAGGGUGCAAGCGUUAAUCGGAAUUACUGGGCGUAAAGCGUGCGUAGGCGGUGAGUUAAGUCUGCUGUGAAAUCCCCGGGCUCAACCUGGGAAUGGCAGUGGAUACUGGCUCGCUAGAGUGUGUCAGAGGAUGGUGGAAUUCCCGGUGUAGCGGUGAAAUGCGUAGAGAUCGGGAGGAACAUCAGUGGCGAAGGCGGCCAUCUGGGACAACACUGACGCUGAGGCACGAAAGCGUGGGGAGCAAACAGGAUUAGAUACCCCUGUAGUCCCUGUCUCUUAUAC
rnacentral:rRNA from 1 species